GUGAAAGCCCGGGGCUCAACCUCGGAACCGCAUUUGAAACUGGCAGGCUAGAGUCUUGUACAGGGGGGUAGAAUUUCAGGUGUAGCGGUGAAAUGCGUAGAGAUCUGAAGGAAUACCAGUGGCGAAGGCGGCCCCCUGGACAAAGACUGACGCUCAGAUGCGAAAGCGUGGGUAGCAAACAGGAUUAGAUACCCUGGUAGUCCACGCCGUAAACGCUGUCUACUUGGAGGUUGAGGUUUAAGACUUUGGCUUUCGGCGCUAACGCAUUAAGUAGACCGCCUGGGGAGUACGGCCGCAAGGUUAAAACUCAAAUGAAUUGACGGGGGCCCGCACAAGCGGUGGAGCAUGUGGUUUAAUUCGAUGCAACGCGAAGAACCUUACCUACUCUUGACAUCCAGAGAACUUUCCAGAGAUGGAUUGGUGCCUUCGGGAACUCUGAGACAGGUGCUGCAUGGCUGUCGUCAGCUCGUGUUGUGAAAUGUUGGGUUAAGUCCCGCAACGAGCGCAACCCUUAUCCUUGUUUGCCAGCACGUAAUGGUGGGAACUCCAGGGAGACUGCCAGUGAUAAACCGGAGGAAGGUGGGGACGACGUCAAGUCAUCAUGGCCCUUACGAGUAGGGCUACACACGUGCUACAAUGGCAGAUACAGAGGGCAGCGAAGCUGCGAAGUGGAGCGAAUCCCUUAAAGUUUGUCGUAGUCCGGAUUGGAGUCUGCAACUCGACUCCAU
rnacentral:rRNA from 1 species